UACGGAGGGUGCAAGCGUUAAUCGGAAUUACUGGGCGUAAAGCGUGCGUAGGCGGUUGUUUAAGUCAGAUGUGAAAGCCCUGGGCUUAACCUGGGAACUGCAUUUGAUACUGGACGACUAGAGUUUAGUAGAGGGGAGUGGAAUUUCAGGUGUAGCGGUGAAAUGCGUAGAGAUCUGAAGGAACACCAGUGGCGAAGGCGGCUCCCUGGACUAAAACUGACGCUGAGGUACGAAAGCGUGGGUAGCAAACAGG
rnacentral:rRNA from 1 species